UUUAAACGGAACCAUCAGUUUUCUGUCUAACUUUGAUCAUCGUCUUAUUUAGAAUUUUUUUUAUUAGUAUUUUUAUUGUUAUUGGAUAAUAAAACAUAAAUAGUGAUUUAUGCAUGACAUAUUUUUUAUAAAAAAUCAUUUUUAAAAUAAAACAGAAGAUUAAAGAUGGAAUUCCAACUUUAAACGGACG
rnacentral:pre_miRNA from 1 species